AUAUAGCAUAGGUGUUGGUUCUCUUCUACAUUCUUUAUAGGUAUGGAAUAGACGCCUGCCUUUCUGUCUUAGACUACUAUGUCCUUUGUCAUUUUGGAGGAUUUCAAAAGGGAUGGGGCCGCGUUUCUUAGCCAUUUUAACUUGGGUAUGCUUCAUGGCGUUGGAGAGGAUUCAGUCCAAGGCCAGAUGAUAUGUAACUGGCAUGUACACGGAAUGGUUUAUCUGGCUAUUUUGUUGGUUGGGUGGCUGGUUACUGCUAUCUACUACUUUUUUCCAUAUACCUUCCAUGACCUUAUUAGAGUAA
rnacentral:lncRNA from 1 species